rnacentral:rRNA from 1 species
GAUGAACGCUGGCGGCGUGCCUAAUACAUGCAAGUCGAGCGAACAUUCUUUGAGCUUGCUCCUCUGACGUUACCGGUGGACGGUUGAGUAACACGUGGAUAACCUACCUAUAAGACUGGUAUAACUUCGGGAAACCUGAGCUAAUACCGGAUAAUCUAUUGAACCGCAUGGUUCAAUAGUGAAAGAUGGUUUUGCUAUCACUUAUUGUUCUAUCCGCGCCGCAUUAGCUAGUUGGUAAGGUAACGGCUUACCAAGGCAACGAUGCGUAGCCGAACUGAGAGGGUGAUCGGCCACACUGGGACUGAGACACGGUCCAGACUCCUACGGGAGGCAGCAGUAGGGAAUCUUCCGCAAUGGGCGAAAGCCUGACGGAGCAACGCCGCGUGAGUGAUGAAGGUCUUCGGAUCGUAAAACCCUGUUAUUAGGGAAGAAAAAAUGUGAAAGUAACUAUGCACGUCUUGACGGUACCUAAUCAGAAAGCCACGGCUAACUACGUG